CAACCUCCUAACGAAGAGGUAAAAUAUUUUUAUGAACAGUUAGAGGCCGUUAGUCAUCCACUAAGGGAAGGGAAUAGCUACUCUUGUUUAUUUAAUAUAAUUGCUAUGUUGCAGGUUCUAGGAAUGAAGAUGGAGAUGAUGCUAGAUAAAAAACUCAUUGAAUGGUGUGUAUUGCUAAACAAAGUAUUGAACUUGUCAAUAUUUAGUUGAGACUAGUUUUGAAUGAUGAUUAUAUUUUUAUUUUGUUAUUGAACAUUUUAGUAGUUCUUGUUGUGGUUGUUAUUGCUAACGUUGUCUGAAUGCCUCAAGCAAGAAUUCAGACUUACAAUAAACAUAUUAAGAACAAUCAUAUCUGGAGAUAUCUAUGAGGGCAUACGGGCUGUCACAACUGACAAGGAUAAUUCUCCAAAGUGGUACCCUCCAACUCUUGAGAAGGUGAAAGAUGAGCAACUAAACUUGAUUUUCAAGCCACUUGAAGAACAUUUGGAGCUCCAAAUUCCAGACAAGCAAGAGUUUAGGUGGGAUGGAAAAUAUGAAAAUUCAGUAUAUUAUCAGCUUAAUUAACCAAGAGAAGAAUCAAAAAGGAAUAUCUCAAUCAAUUGCUCUUGGAACUGGUCAUAUACAAUCUGCAUUGUGAGAGGCUUUUAUUUUAUUCGUACAAAUAUACGUUAGAAAUCAAUGGCAAAUUAAAGACGAUUUGGCAGGGGUGUCAUAUGAUAUUGCUUCGAAAAAGUUUCUUUUGUGUUUGUGUGUAAAUAAUAUUUUUCCCAAGAAACAGUUUGCUUAUAUGUACAAUACGUCUAAUUAAGAUGAUAAACGUUUGUAAUUGUGAAGGGAAAUGGAAAGUGCCUUAUUGUGGAUCUACCAUGUAGACACAAUUGUGGCAUUAUAUUGCUCGGUAUAGUAGAGACUAGU